AUUCCAGCUCCAAUAGCGUAUAUUUAAGUUGUUGCAGUUAAAAAGCUCGUAGUUGGAUUUCGGAUGAAUGCGACCGGUCCGUCGUUACGAUGUGUACUGGUUGCGUCCAUCUUGCCGUCGGGGACGCGCUCCUGGCCUUAAUUGGCUGGGACGCGGAGUCGGCGAAGUUACUUUGAAAAAAUUAGAGUGUUCAAAGCAGGCUUACGCUCUGAAUACAUUAGCAUGGAAUAACGCGAUAGGACUCUGGUCUUAUUGUGUUGGUCUUCGAGACCGGAGUAAUGAUUAAGAGGGACAGUUGGGGGCAUUCGUAUUUCAUUGUCAGAGGUGAAAUUCUUGGAUUUAUGAAAGACGAACUUCUGCGAAAGCAUUUGCCAAGGAUGUUUUCAUCA
rnacentral:rRNA from 1 species